rnacentral:tRNA from 1 species
CUAGUGGUGGUUCAGUGGUACAAUUCUUGCCUUUCAUGUGAGAGAUCCAGGCUCAAUUCCUGGCUAGUGAA